CUGUUAGAUGUCGCUGUAGAUUUAGCAGUACAUUACUGUAAAAAUCCACAGUACUAUACUGUAUGUGUACAUUACAGUACAGUACUGCAGUUCAUAAUGCAUUCUGGGUAAAUUUGUUUGAGCGGGAAAAUUUUACAGUAUAUUUUGGUCUUGAUGUAACCUUGCUGUAGCCAUUGCUGUAAUGUGCCAGGUGUACUUGCAAUAAUCAGAGAAAGUGCGCCAACGUCAAAUCACACAGAGGGAGAGAGAGCACAACUCCUGGCUGCAGCUGAAGGAGGACGAUUGAUUUCUGGCAGUUCGUCUUACCAUUGCUUGUAAGCUGGAUUGGGUAAGAUGGAUCAUCUUUAAAGGCACCAGGAGUUAAGGCAGAUGUGGAGGCACAACGGGUGAUACCAGACACACACCAAGCACAUUAUGUUUGGACAUUCAAUCAUGACAUGAUCCAGGUGGAUGCUGUCCAUUGAGGAAAGAGUUUGUUCAGCGGUUUCUGGAUAGAAUUAAUUCCAAAGAUGGGAAAAAGUGCACAUCCAGACAAGGAGCAAGCAAAAAGACAAGGAACUUGGUGCAGAGAAAAGCUGUGGCCAUUAACCCCUGUGAACAGCUUCAUGCAGUCGCUGAUUGAGUUCGAAUGGACGACUUCAGUAAAGGCCACUGUGGUCUGUCUGCCACAGUUUAAUUUUUAAUUUAUUUUUAGUGUUCAAUGAAAUUCAAGUAGAAUAUUUAAAACUAUGGGCCAGUGUUGUUUUUACCACGUUGAAAUGUUACCUUUUAGUCGAUGAUGGACUUUAAACUGAAAACUUCAAACUAUGGAACAGUGUUCUAUUUGCCAGAGUUAAAUAUGUUACAGCAGGGGUCUCCAAACUUGUUUAUACUUGUUGAUUUUAUUUUAUGUUACUUGAUUAUAUGUUUAUUAUUGUUUAAAAUCUUGUUUUAAAUAUGUUUGUUUCAAUUAAAUGUUUUUUUUAAUAAAAUUUUGAUACAAACAUUGCUUGGAUUGCCUUUUAAUUCAUUAUGUUUUAAUUUAGCAUUUUUACCAUAUUAAUAACUAUAGAUUUAAACCUAAAUCUCUAGCUAUUUUAUAUAAUAUUAUUGUAUUAACUGUAAUAAGUAAUAAAUAGUAUUUAUGGGUCAAUAUAGACAUUACAGUAAAUUACUGUAAAAAUAGACUACUGUAAUAAAAUAUUGUAAAAUUACAGUACAGUACUGCUUUGUAACUAUACAGUACUAGUUUGUGUACUGUAAAAUGGUAUUACAGUACAGUACUGUAAAACCAAAAUACAGUAACUUACUGGCAACCGUGCUGCCAGUACCGUACUGUAAAAAUACAGGGAAAUCGU